rnacentral:rRNA from 1 species
UAAUCGACCGAUAGUGAACCAGUACCGUGAGGGAAAGGCGAAAAGAACCCCGGGAGGGGAGUGAAAUAGAUCCUGAAACCGCAUGCAUACAAAACAGUGGGAGCCCGCAAGGGUGACUGCGUACCUUUUGUAUAAUGGGGUCAGCGACUUACGUUCAGUAGCGAGCUUAACCGAAUAGGGGAGGCGUAGCGAAAGCGAGUCUGAAUAGGGCGAUUCAGUUGCUGGGCGUAGACCCGAAACCAGAUGAUCUAUCCAUGGCCAGGAUGAAGGUGCCGUAACAGGGUACUGGAGGUCCGAACCCCACUAAAUGUUGAAAAAUUAGGGGAUGAGCUGUGGAUAGGGGUGAAAGGCUAAACAAAUCUGGAAAUAGCUGGUUCUCCCCGAAAGCUAUUUAGGUAGCGCCUCAUGUAUCACCACCGGGGGUA